rnacentral:rRNA from 1 species
AGAGCUUGUAGGUGGCUUGUCGCGUCUGCCGUGAAAACCCGAGGCUCAACCUCGGGCGUGCGGUGGGUACGGGCAGGCUAGAGUGUGGUAGGGGAGACUGGAACUCCUGGUGUAGCGGUGAAAUGCGCAGAUAUCAGGAAGAACACCGAUGGCGAAGGCAGGUCUCUGGGCCAUUACUGACACUGAGAAGCGAAAGCAUGGGUAGCGAACAGGAUUAGAUACCCUGGUAGUCCAUGCCGUAAACGUUGGGCACUAGGUGUGGGGGACAUUCCACGUUUUCCGCGCCGUAGCUAACGCACUAAGUGCCCCGCCUGGGGAGUACGGCCGCAAGGCUAAAACUCAAAGGAAUUGACGGGGGCCCGCACAAGCGGCGGAGCAUGCUGAUUAAUUCGAUGCAACGCGAAGAACCUUACCAAGGCUUGACAUGCACUGGACGGCUGCAGAGAUGUGGCUUUCUUUGGACUGGUGCACAGGUGGUGCAUGGUUGUCGUCAGCUCGUGUCGUGAGAUGCUGGGUUAAGUCCCGCAACGAGCGCAACCCUCGUUCUAUGUUGCCAGCACGUGAUGGUGGGGACUCAUAGGAGACUGCCGGGGUCAACUCGGAGGAAGGUGGGGACGACGUCAAAUCAUCAUGCCCCUUAUGUCUUGGGCUUCAAGCAUGCUACAAUGGUCGGUACAAUGGGUUGCGAAACUGUGAGGUGGAGCGAAUCCCAAAAAGCCGGCCUCAGUUCGGAUUGGGGUCUGCAACUCGACCCCAUGAAGUCGGAGUCGCUAGU